CAUUGAAGCACUGGUUCCCAUAUGAUCAUCAAAGUUAAACAACGUUGAGCCUGGUCAGCAUCUUGAUGGGUGACCACUUGGAAAUACCAG